rnacentral:misc_RNA from 1 species
CAGUUAAUGAGCGGUUCGGCUCGCGCAAGCGAACCGGCCGCCAUCAACCUCCACCCUUGAUUUUGAGCACCUUCGUUUCCUCGGCGGGUUCGCCCGCCAUUGAGGACCCCCUUGAACUCUUUGUAGUAGCAGUUUUUGUCUGAAAUACAAACAAAUAAUCA